CAUACAAAUAUAGAUGUCUCAGGAUAAGACCACCGAAAGUAUUGAGUGUAUAUGGCAAUCGGCCCACGGCAUCCAGAGUUCUUCAGUUCCCUCUGUGACUCCAGAGCGUGGGGAUCCUGGACUUUGGCCACACGUCGAGUCUGAUUUCCAUCUGGAGGUAAAUACUCGACUUUCUCAGAUUUCCUUAUUCUCCUACACAAGCAGUGGUUGUCCAGCAUCCAUGGCAACCUUCUGGAGCCACACUGCCUUUCUGCUCUCCCUCAACUCCACCUCUGCGAUCUGCCCCUCCCAGAUGUGGAUGUCAAAAAACUAAGUUUGUUUUAUGAUAGGAUUACUCAAUUCAAGGACUUACUCCAUUUGGAGAGAUCAAUGGCACUCAUUCUGCUCCCCUGCAUCAGAAAGGAGGAGUAUAGGAGUCAGAGCGUUCCUGUUAUGUACUGUCCCAACCCUCCAGGUCAAGGACACUUAGGUAACUUGGAAUGGCUGGGGUUCAGGAGGAUAUCUAGCUACUCUUUGAUUAUUUUAGCUAAGUGGUAGCACAAGGCCUUGAAAUCCGAUUCUGUAUGAAUCUUCAUUAGCUGCACUAUCCUGCAUCACACACACCACAUACACGUAUACGUACAUGCACAUUUACAUAUAUACACAAAUGUGUGUGAAAGACAGAGAAAGCCAUUUAUAAACUGUAAAUUCUCCCCUAAAAUACCAAUAAUAAUUAAAUGUAUUUCAUGGGAAAAUGACGACAAUGUGUCAUAAGCAAAAAUAGGAUAACUCACCCAUUUGUACCUGAGGUCCAGAAAAAGAGGGAAAAAAAGGAAAUUUGUAUCAAAUGUGACUCUGGAUAUUUACAUGAUCCACUUAUUUAAUCCUCACAAUAAACUGGUGAUUUUAAUUGAUUUACUAAUUUAACAAAAAACCCGAAGAGAAGAGGUUCAAAACACUUUCUGUAUUUUAAUCUUGUUCUGCCUGUCUCCCAUGCUCAAUCCUUAAGAAUCACACCCCAUGCCUGGGUUUAACCUGGAAAAUCAUGUCAGUUCUGACUUAAUGAGAAGCCCUCCGCUGUUACUACAACGUCCUCUUCCUACUUUUUCAAGAAACACACCCCACACUCAGGUCUGUGUGCGCGGGAACCGACAGCAGGUGACUUCCGUGCACCUGCCUUUUCUGUGGCCAAAUGUGACUCACGUGGCAAAGAAGCCGAUCCCUGCCUAACACCAGCACCACCACUCCUAGGGCUUUUCCAACGUGUCUGGCAUCUCUACCUUGGAGAAGUGAAUCAUUCUUCCACACUCCAUAAAUACUUCAAAUCUGCAGGCUCUUCAAUCUACACGUUCUCCCCUUUCAAAAGACAUGAUUCUUCCCUACUACAAUACUGUGUUAGUUUGCUCAGGCUGCUGUAACACAGUACCACCAACCGAGGGGCUUAAACAACAGAAGUGUAUUUUCUCAUGAAUCUGGCCGCUGCACGAGACCAAGGCCUCCCCACCCAGUGUGCUCACAGCUGUUCUCUCCCUGUGUCUCCACACUCUUGCUUGCCACACAUCGGUGACAUCAGUCCCUCUUCCUGCAAAGACACCAGUCAAACGGACUCUGAGCCCACCCCACUGACCUCAUUUUCCCUUAGUUACCACUUGUGAGGCCCAAUCUCCAAAUACAUUCUUAGGGUUGGGACUUCAACAUUUGACUUUUGGGAACACAAAAUUCAACCUAUAACAGAGAUGAAUUUACAUACAGUGACAUUCUGCCUCAGUUUUCCCCACAAGUCCUACAUUCAUGUCCACUGGUUAUUUUUUUCUAUCAAAUUGAAGUCCUGUUGCCUCUAAGUCCAGUGUGUCCAACUGAAUUCCUUUCUCCUGUUUUGUUCAGAACUAUAUUAUGAACUCUCCUUUCCCCAAAACAUGUCCAUCUCUCCACAAUCACCUAUCUCCUCAUUGACGCUCAUUAUCUCUCUCGUAACUUGAAGCAAAAAUCUCCUCUGGACGGAUUUUCUCUCCAGCCCCUGGCCUUCCAUCCUCCCUUCAGAGCCGAACCGGAAGUGCUGGUGUCCCUCACUCACGUCGUCCCCUCCCUCCGACUUACAAAGACCACCAAUGAUUACUUUAUUAUAUAGUUUAAUUCGUCAUCCUUCUAAAGGUCUCAAAAGCAAUCUUCAUCCAUCUUGUGGAUUUGGGUUGUUACAGGCAACACUGGAGAGAAGCUAAUGCGAGAGCUGUAUGCUGCUCUUUAUUUUCAAGAGGACUCGUCAUGUGACAUCUCUCAGGCUGUGAGCAUCCUGGUGACUCCAGAUAAAUGAAACAUUUGAGCUUAAAAUAUAUAUUUGGCUACCGAGUGUAUAUAUUUUACUGUCAGGAAAUAGAAAAACAAAUCAGCAUAGGUCUCUUCAUCAGAUUUAGUUGAUUGAUGCCUAACAACUGUAAAACCCUACAAGCUUCAAAGUAUUAAGGCUUUCUAGAAUAAAUAACGUAGCUUCAUUACUUAUUUUACUAUAAAUAGGAUGUGCUUUGUUUUUGAAAAUAAGUUUCAAAGAAGUAGGACAUAUCUUAAGAUACACGGAAAUCUCGAGAUCCAAAAGAACAGAUUGUUUUUGAAGAAAAAUCAUUCAGUAUACAUUUUAAAUACAAGCAUUUGAUUUAGAAAAAAUUGUCAUUUUCAUCCUUGUCAUCAGUAUCACUGGCAUUAUCAUCACCAUCAAAAGCUAGUGUCCUAAGGCCAAAAGAACGUCGAACCAGGUCCUGCUGGAGCCAAACUGUUCAGAGGUCAAGGGCCAAGGCUCUGGUCUCAGCCCGCUGGGGCCCCAGCCAGGCUCCCCCACAUGCUGGGUGAUGGUUAAAUUGAGAUGGCCUUUACUCCCUCCUAGGACUAUUGAGAGGUAAAAAUGGGUUAAUGAGUGUAACGUUUUCACACUGAGUCACUGCUGUAAUUACUUGUAUCGGGAGCAGCAAAGGCCAGCUGCAGCUAAGUAGGCAGGAGUACGUGGCGCGGAGGGUUUUGGAUCCAAAUGUGAACCACUCUCCACAGCUCCCUGAGCCCAUGUUUUUACAUCUGGCGUCUCCCACGUGUAUUUGUCUUUUUUCAUGGUCUUCCAGAUAGACUGAUCUUCUAUAGACAUAGAGCCCAGUAAAUAACAGCAAACUGUUAACACAGAGGAAGCAGUAAAGAAACAAGCUACCUUAUAUUCCACAAAGUGCUGACAAUGCCAUGAUAGCACUUUCUGAGCACAAUUAAAAAAAAUUAAAUAGCCACAGUGCAGCAGUGAGGAAGACAAUAGCCCAACAUGAGCACCAAACUUAUGGGGCUCCUGACUUAACACCAGUCACAGUCUUCCCUUUGGUCUGGGGUGGACACUGGGAGUCUGCAUUUUGACAAGUACACCAGGGAUCCUGAUGUAGGAGUAGAACCCUGAAAAUGUGACACAGUGGCCAAUAAGCUAAAGACAGAUUCUUAAUACGGAUUCAGGUCACCAUAAGACACGGCCAGAUUCAUCACUCACUCAUCCCUGGUUGAACUGAAAUCAUCUGCCUCACAGGCACUUGUCUCAUUCAUGGGCCACAGGCCAGCUGGCUUUACUGUCUCACCCGUGCACAGCCCUUUUACUAGAACUUCCUUCCCAUCCCCCACUUGGCAUUCUUGAACUUCCCCUUUAAGAAUCUGAUUACAUAUCAUACCCCUUUGGGAGAUGGGAUCCCCUUCCCUGAACAUUCAGUCUAAUGUUGGUGCCAAACCUCCCCAUUAUCCCAGGAGGGCAUUUAGGA